GUUCAGCAAAGUAAGAUCUACAAAUAAGUUUACAUAACCGAAAUGGUCAAAUGACCCCUUUAGGAGUUAUUGCCCUUUAUAGUCAAUUGUUUAACCAUUUUUUGUAGAUCUUAGUAAUCUUUUACAAAAAUCUUCUCCUCUGAAACAACUUGGCCAAAUUAAACCAAACUUGGCCACAACUAUCAUUGGGGUAUCUAGUUUGAAAAUGUGUGGCGUGACCCGGCCAACCACCCAAGAUGGCCGCC
rnacentral:lncRNA from 1 species